rnacentral:rRNA from 1 species
UACAGAGGUGGCAAGCGUUGUUCGGAAUUACUGGGCGUAAAGGGCGCGUAGGCGGCCUUCUAAGUCAGACGUGAAAUCCCCCGGCUUAACCUGGGAACUGCGUCUGAUACUGGGAGGCUUGAGUAUGGGAGAGGGAUGUAGAAUUCCAGGUGUAGCGGUGAAAUGCGUAGAUAUCUGGAGGAAUACCGGUGGCGAAGGCGGUAUCCUGGACCAUAACUGACGCUGAGGCGCGAAAGCUAGGGGAGCAAACGGG